AAAUAUAACCCAUUAAAUAAUGGUGUUUUGGCCAUUAAUUGAUGCUUAUUUCUUUAUUUGAGCAACCACUAAAUAGAGGCGUCUUGGCCACUAAUGGCAGCUCAUUGCAUUAUUAAAGCAAUCCACUAAUUACAAUGCUCUGUUUUUUACCCGUUUUAAGCGGUUGCAAAUUGAAGUCUAUAUUUUGAGAUCGUUCUUUAAAUGCUACCAAAAGCAGAGGAACCAACACAAUAAUAAGUAUAAUCAAAAUCAUAAGCCUUUUAUUCCAAUGAAAUUAUUCAUUACUAAUCAAAUAGUCAAUACAAUAAAUUAAUAAUAAUAAAUUCAAUACAAUAUACAAUCACUCAAUAAAUGAUCAAAAACCAAUGUAACUCACAUCUUCAUAAUAGCAAGAAGAGAAAUAAUAAGAGAGAAUACAACAGCAACACCGGAAACUGGCGUCGAGAAGGCGGCUCCGGUGUCCAUUGGGGGGGCAGGCGCCAAUGCACUGCCCUGAGCUGAUACAGUGGUGGCUACUGAGACUACAACGGCAACAAAAAUGAUCAUAAUAGCCUUGGAGGAGCAAAGUUUUGCCAUAUCUAAAAACUAAUUAACAAAUAGAUGAUAAAUUGGUUUAGGAAAAUUUCUUGAACUGUUGUAGCGAUAUAACAUUUCGGGUGGGGUGUAUAUAUAAUAGGAAUGUGGUAGACCUAAGAAAUUAAGUGG
rnacentral:lncRNA from 1 species